GCUCAUUCAGGUGCAGCUUACUGACAGGGAGAUGCUUUACAACAUAAACAUUAGGUCAGACUAAACUUUUCCUUUUUCACUUCAGUUAGGUUUACCCAAAUUAUUUCUAAUUGCUAAAUGCCAGAAUAAUGAGGGAUACAAGAUGUUUUUUAUUUCUUCAGAUUCAGACGUUUGCAUAGACUAAGAAUACUAAGGCCUUAAACAAUUUGGGAAAAUCCUAAUGUAAUGUCAUGGCCUUGUCUGCUUCUAAUUAUGGCAAUUCACAGCUUUUGUGUUAAAUAGAAGCACACUCCAUUCCAGUCAGUGCCGGUAAGGCACACCUACAGUUAUUUGCUAACUGCCAUAAAAUCCUACAAGAAGAAGAAGAAGAAACGCAAGGCGAGUGUUGUUGCCAGCCAUAAUAAAAACAGAAGAAGGAGGAAGCAGAGGUGAGGGCAAACUGUUCCUGCUGUUGACGUUUUUGGUACCAGAGGCCAACGUGCUAGCGUUGGGGGCACGAGCAACGCAACUUGUCCCCAGCUGAGUUGUCUAGAUGUCUUCAACCAGCUGUAUCCUGGUGGCUUUCAAUUACCUCCUCGAUGACAAACAGUGCAUCUACACACUAAGAUUAGGUGAAGUGCACCCAUCCCUCUUGUAGCAGAACACUCACAUAACAUGAUGAUGCCACCCUUGCACUUCGGAGUUGGGAUGGUGCAAGCUUCCCCCUUCUUUGUCCAAACUUAAAGAUGCCAGAUUGGCACAGAGAGGGGUGGAGGAUCUGGGUGGAUGACGACACCAGGAGAAGCUUCUACAUUAAAGAUGUCUUGAUAGUAUAGGUUUAAAUUUUGUGUCUUUAAAUUCUCAGUCUUUAUAGCAGAGGUUUAAAUUUUGUCAGAGUUGCUGGAAAAAAAAGUUGUUCCAAGUGUUUUUAUAUUUUGCAAAAUGGGUCCUUAAUUUUUUUUUUUAUGUCUGUGCAAUUCAUGUAUGUCUUUGGAGCCAAGCCUCAACAAAAGUUUCAUUAUGGUGACAUAAUGACAAUAAAUCUUGAAUCUUGAAUAGCA